rnacentral:tRNA from 1 species
AGUUAUUUAGCUUAAUAAGAAAAGCAUAUAUUUUGAAAGUAUAAGAUAGAUCUCCAUUUAAUAACUU